rnacentral:rRNA from 2 species
AUGAAAGGUAUAAUGAGAGGGAGACUGUUUUGCAAUAGUGGUUGAAUUUAAUUAUCAGGUACAAAGGCCUGGAUGUUGUAAAGUGACAAGAAGACCCUAAGAGUUUUAUUUUAUGUUUAAGUUAGGUUUAAGGCAGUGUAUUUAGAUAGCUUAAUUAUAAAAUUUAACUGGGGCGGUUGAAAAUAAUUAUCAUUUUUGGUUAUUACAUUAAUGUGUGUAAUAUAUUUGUUUAUAAUCCUAUGUUGGAAAUCAAUAUAAAUUACCUUAGGGAUAACAGCAUAAUCUUUUUUGAGAGAUCUUAUUGACAGAAAGGUUUGUGACCUCGAUGUUGGAUUUGAGUAACUACAAGGAGCAGCAUCUUUGUAAGUUGGUUUGUUCAACCAUUAAAU